UAUACACCUUUCACUUUUGGACCGACUUAUUAUUUUGGAAACAAGACAUACCACUUAAAUCAUUUGUCCCUUUGUCAAUGAAAAAGAAAAAAUGAAGGGUGGUACUCCUAUUAUUUUCAUUUGAAAAUGUUGUAAAUAUUUAAAACGUGCUUAGACUAUUUUUAAUCAUUAAAUUUGCUGACUUUAUGUAUUUUCAAAGUAUACAAUUUUUUUUUUUUUUUUUAAAUUGAGUAAUCAAUGCCUAGAAUCAUACCAAGUAGGCAUUUACUCAUAGGGUUUGGGAUCCCAAUUUUAAAUAACGAAAAGGAUAAUUUUCUGUUUCAAAAAUCAAAUCCUUAACUGUUUGACUGUAGUGAAAGCGAGAAAAUAAAAGGAAAUUUACCAGAGAAGUUACAGCAACAGCGAAGAGAAGAAUGGACGAAACAAUGGAGAAGACGAGCAGCAACAAUGACAAGCUGCAACAGCAACAACAAAAAUGGAGAAAAAAAAUCACAGAGAAAGGAGUGAAGAAGAAGAAAAACAAUCCCACAGAAGGAAGAGAGAAGAGACAAUUGUUGCCUUUUUAAAUCCCGAAAAAGAGGAGAAGAGAAAUUCAAAAUGGCCAUUGAAUACACAAAACGAGUUAAUUAUUUUCUCGACAAAUAUAUCUACUCACGACAACAGAUGGAGAAGUUGAAGAGCUGCAGAGGCUUUGAAAAAACUUAAGGCGAUACCUAAUGUACGAUGAAGCAAUGUAUCUUUACUCUAGAGGAAAGCUGCAAAUCGAUGUUUCUUCUGAGGAUAAUUUGGAAGCAGAAGAGGAUCUUGACAAAGUUGUGAGUAAAAAAGGGCAUGUUUCUUUGUUUGAAUUUCUUUUUUGCACGUUAUUUUUUAAUUGUUGAUCUGUUUCCAGUAUGAGUUGAAUAACUAUUUGGUGGAUGUGUUGACAUGUUUCUUAGUUGAUGAAGCUGAAAGGUUCCAUGAAUCUCCCCUUGAAAAGGUCAUGUACAUUAUCAAGGUUGUCUCAAUGAAAUUAGUGACCACCAAAUUUUAAUAAGAGGCUUUAAGUAACAUACACAAAAGAAAAGGAUAGUGUUGCCUUUUUUCUCCUCAUAGUUGUCUUGUGUAGUAAUUUUAAAACACAUAAAGCCUUUAAUUUAACUUUAUAUAGUAAUAUUAUUAUUUAUAAUAGUAAGGAUUAAUUCUUGUUAGUAAGAUGUUGUCAUAUGUUUACAAUUCAUUACCUUUGUAAAAACUUUAUUUAUUAAUAUCAAGAUUUGAGUAGUUUGAUUCAAGGUUCUAAAUAUUUUAUUAAAAAUUAGGUAAUUUUUCUUUUUUUAUAUAAAUUAAUUACUUUUUUUUUAACAAUCUUCAAUGUUGUCCAAGCGAAAAUAAAAUCAUAAACUUCGCUAUUAAAAAUUAGGAAAAUGACUAAAAUACACCUCAAACUAUGGUCAUAUUUGUUGUAACACACCUAUACUUUACGAGCAUCUUUACCCCUGACUAUUUUUCAGUGGAUUUUAAUGGCAUUUAUCUGGUGAGCUGAAAGAGAAGGUGAGAACAUGCACAAGGAGCGCAUAAGGGGUAAAUAAAUCUCAGCUAGCUUGUUUAUUUUUUGCCACGUGGCGGUCCCAACUGUUAUUUUAUUUUAACCCCCUUAUAUCUCCAUCUUUGUCCGACUUCAUCACCAUUGUAGACCCAAUUUCAUCACCGUUGAAGCUAGAAAACUCAAACCCUAACCUUCAAAUUACGGUUGUCUUCAAGAGGUAACCUACCAUUUGUGUAAAUUUCUUCUCUUUUUUCAUUUGUAUUUUAAAUUUAAAAGGUUAGGCUUCUAAUUUUUCCCCAAAUUUUUUGUAUACAAAAUUAGGGUCAGUCAUGAAAGAGCUAAGAGAUUGGCUUUGUACGGACAAUGAAGAUCCAAUUAUGAAGCUCGAUUAUUUGAGGGAUCCAAUGAAUAACAAGGUUAAAUUUCAAGAGAAUCGACUAAAAAUCCAUGGUCAAAUCAAAGAGAGACGGGGGAUUUUUUUUUUUUUUUUUGGAGAAAUUCGAAGUGUGAAUAAAAUGAAAAUGAUCGAAUGAGGGUCUUUGUGGCUUUUCCUCGGUGCAUGUGUUACACUGAAGUUGAAAAAAAUUGGUUGACAUUCUAAUCACUAGAUAAAUGUCAUUAAAUUGCACUAAAAAAAAUAGUCAGGGAUAAUAGGACCCCCGUAAAGUAUAGGUGUGUUACUGCAGAUCCGAGCAUAGUUUGAGGUUUAUUUUAGUCAUUUUUCCUUAAUAAAUUUUGCGGCCUAAAACAAAAAAUUUACUAGCUUCACCCUUAACCCCUAUGCACUAUUGUUUCUUAGAUUCUAUCGUUUUCGUUAGUAAUCAAUAAACUCGCUUCUAUAAACUUCUAUUUGUAUUUGAUGUGUUUAACAUUAGGGAAUAUUUGACCAAAAAAACAUCAGGGAAAUACGACGUUGUAAUGUGGAUUAUCCGUUUUUAAAAGAAAACAAUCCUAGGCGAAACAACUUAACUUCUAUUAAUAGAUGUGAUGCCUGUUUGCAAUUACAAAAUUUGUCGCGAUAAUCAUGCUUAUAAGUAUAAUUAUGCCCAUAAAACACCUGAUUGUAUUCUACUUUCCGGAGCAAAACACUCCCCAAUAAAUCAUUGAUGAAAGUCUCUGGUGUGUCUUAAUAGCACUGAUGUGGGAUCUCAGAGAUGCAGUAACAUAUUGUAAGAUUUGAAUAAGAAAUUUGGUUACAUCCGAACUUGGGUUCUUUAAUGAAUCUUUCAACCGAUUUAGAGGGUGUCCUAGGAGAUACAACUCUCACUAAAAAAAAUUAUAACUCGAAGUUGGAAUAAAUCCCUUCUUUCUCAGGCAGUGGAUUCAUACAUGAAAGUUGUGAGUAUGUGCAAAUACCUUGGCUUAAAGCUUUCCCAUAAUAUACUGUUACACAUCGUACUUUUAUACGUUAAGUUUCUUCAUAAGUUGGUUGCUAUAGAUUCGGAAAACGAAGUUAUUUUUUAGGAUAUGUGAGAUUAGACGUGUUCAUCUUGAGUAUACGAGGGUUUAGGUUCAUGUUUGGCAAGUGUUGGAAGGAUUAGAGGAUAAAUGAAUCGAAGAGAAAUACGUUUCGUCGAAAGUUGAUUUUGGCAAGCAUAAUACGGACCGUAUAUGAGAAAUAGGGACCGCAUUUGGAAAUACGGUCCGUACUUCUCUUGGAAAAGAGGCAAAAUAUUUUGAUGGGAAUUACGGUCCAAGAUUCGGACCAUAUUUAAAAAUAUGGUCCGUACUUGUGGCCGUAUUUUUAAGUCGGCUCAAUUAAGUUUUUUAUCUUAUUCGUGUAUCCCUCAUCUUAUUUCAUUUUCUCCAUUUCCCCUAAUCUCUAACCAUCCAAAAAGUUCUCUCCGACAUAUCUAUCAAACAUCUAAGUGAAAUCAAGGAUCAAAAGAGAAGAUCAAGUGUUUAAAGGUUCUACAGUGAUUAUGGAAGUUUGUUUCUCCUCUUGGUAGUGGUUUUGGAGGAUACUUCAAGGUGAAGCAUUCUUGCAAUUAAUGUGUUCUUGAGUUUUGAGGUAAGAUUUUAUCUUAAUUCCAUGUUUAUGAGUUUAUAUAAUGGUUAUGCUAGGUUUGGAGGGACAUGAGUUGGAAGAAAGGUUCAAAUAUGAAUUUGGGUAUAUGUUGAGAUGUAAUCUAACUUGAGUCAUGUUGUAAAUGUGUUUGUAAGCUAAAACCUUGUUGUAAGGAUAAUAGUUGGUGUUGAGAUUGUAUUGAGGAUGUUGUGCUUGGUAUAAUUGGAAGAAGAAGGUGAUACAAGCCGAGUUGCCUCAAAGACAUUUCGAGGAACGUCCCGUGUAGUCAAAGUUUGGAUAAUAGCAUGGAGAGGACGGAUGGGAGAUGGAAGAGCAUUAAGUGGCCACCGAGCAAGGGAGGUUAGCCAAUUCAAGAUUUCCAUCUCCACAAGACUAGCCAAACAAGGCCCUUACUUCAUUAAGGGUAUAAUUGUAAUAAUGUAGUGUCUUCUAUUAGUUAGUUAGUAUAAAUAGCUAGUCUUUCAUUUCAUUAGGCGACUUUGGACAUUUGGAAGAAAAGAUGAGUGAUUUUGAGAGUUGUCUCUAGAGAGAGAAACUUAUGAGAGAGGCCAUGGAUGGCUCUUGUUGAAUUUUUGAUUGUGAGAGGAUUGGUUGCUUGGGAAUUCAAUUCCCUUGAGGUCAUCCUAAGAGGUUGGUGCUUGUUUAUGCUAAUUAAUUGAGGUCUUUAGGUUUGAUACACCUUUAGGUUGCUUUUAAUUCCAUUUUCUUGUGUCAAUCUAUCUAUCCUUUACUUUCCUUGUUAUUUUGUUGCUUCCGCGUAUCCGUUAUUGUAUCAGAAGGUGUAUAAGUGUUGUAUAUAAAGCGUGUAUUGGGCUGUUUUGAUGUAAAACUUGGGGUGAGUAGUGAUGUGGAAUUAAAUAGACUUAUAUGGGGUUGUUGUUGUGUUGUUGGCUGCUAGGUGUACCGUAGUGACUAAGGAGAUUGGAAUACUAUCCCGACAGUUUCAUUGUGGGAUUUGUUGACGACUUGAGAUAUGUUAAGGCUAACUUUACUUCUUUUGGCAUGAUCCUUAUGAAUGAAACGUAAAUGUAACGCUACUCCAUAAUGAUUCUAUUCUUAGUGGCUAGGGAUGUCCCCUGUUGAUUCAAGUUCUAGAAUGUUGUUUUCAAUAAGUCCUUCUUCAGAUUCAGUAUGAUUCAUAGAGUCUCUUGUUAAUGAAAAUACUAUCUCAAAACGAUGUUCGGAGGUGUAACGACCUUACGUCACUCCGACAGAUUCAAGAUGUACUCUUAUCAUAUAUAUACACACAGAGAGACCCAUGAACCCUCAGACAUUAUAUACAUGUAUAUUAUGUAUUAUACAUAUGGGUUAUGGGGAAGGUGACGACGUUAUAUACGCACUACCACUUGAUCAGCAGGUCACAUGAUAAUGAUGCCCACAGAGGCCGAUAUGAAACGAUGGGAUACCCAUAGAGGCUUGACAGGCGUUAUAUAUGCAUAUAUAUGUAUGACCCAGCAUUAUAUAGGCAUAUAUGCAUGCACACAGUAUUUAUGCAUAUUAUUGGCCCUUAGAGGCAGUUCAGACAUACAGGUUACAUUCAUUUCAUCCUAUGUACUUUUAUGUCUCUUUCAUGUUACUUUCAUGCCUUACAUACUCAGUACUUUUUCUGUAAUGAUGUCUCUUUUCUGGGGGGCACUGCAUUUCAUGCCUGCAGGUUCAGGUAGACAGGUUGACGAUCCGCCCUUGUAGGUUGUGGUUUAGCUGAUAUUGGAGCAUUCCCUUUGUUCCAGAGUUGCUGUUGAGUUUUGGUAUGUUAUACCUUUGUGUACAUACGGGUAUGGCGGGACCCUGUCCCGAUCUUAUUAUGUCAUAUACUCUAGUAGAGGUUUAUAGGCAGUCGUGGUAUAGUUAGACGUUGUAUGGCCUCUUUGGCCUACAGUUUGUUGUAUAGUAUUUCAUGAUGGCCUUGUCGGCACAGUUUUGUACAGCAUAGUUGUAUAGUAUGUCUUUUCGAACUCAUCCCUUUUCAGCAUAUUUUUCUUAUGAUUUAGCAGAUUCCUAUCUGAUGAUUGUUACAAUUUGCUUUUACGCUGGUUAAGGCAUAAAAUUUACUAUGA